GUGUCAGCCGCCGCGGUAAGACGUAGGGGGCAAGCGUUGCUCGGAAUCACUGGGCUUAAAGGGCGCGUAGGCGGUUGUGUAAGUCCAGGGUUGAAGGCCCCGGCUCAACCGGGGAAAGGCCUUGGAGACUGCAUGACUUGAGUGAGCGAGGGGAGGGCGGAAUUCCUGGUGUAGCGGUGAAAUGCGUAGAUAUCAGGAGGAAGGCCUGGGGCGAAGGCGGCCCUCUGGCGCUCAACUGACGCUGAGGCGCGAAAGCGUGGGUAGCAAACAGGAUUAGAUACCCUGGUAGUCCACGCCGUAAACGAUGGGCACUAGGUGUUGGGGGCGACUUGUCGCCCUCAGUGCCGCAGCCAACGCAUUAAGUGCCCCGCCUGGGGAGUACGCUCGCAAGGGUGAAACUUAAAGGAAUUGACGGGG
rnacentral:rRNA from 1 species